UAGGGAAUCUUCGGCAAUGGACGGAAGUCUGACCGAGCAACGCCGCGUGAGUGAAGAAGGUUUUCGGAUCGUAAAACUCUGUUGUUAGAGAAGAACAAGGACGUUAGUAACUGAACGUCCCCUGACGGUAUCUAACCAGAAAGCCACGGCUAACUACGUGCCAGCAGCCGCGGUAAUACGUAGGUGGCAAGCGUUGUCCGGAUUUAUUGGGCGUAAAGCGAGCGCAGGCGGUUUCUUAAGUCUGAUGUGAAAGCCCCCGGCUCAACCGGGGAGGGUCAUUGGAAACUGGGAGACUUGAGUGCAGAAGAGGAGAGUGGAAUUCCAUGUGUAGCGGUGAAAUGCGUAGAUAUAUGGAGGAACACCAGUGGCGAAGGCGGCUCUCUGGUCUGUAACUGACGCUGAGGCUCGAAAGCGUGGGGAGCAAACAGG
rnacentral:rRNA from 1 species